rnacentral:lncRNA from 1 species
AAUGCUAACAUAAUGGAUCAAAACAUAAAUUGAAGAAAAUAUCAAAAAGUUUCAUUAUCAAUUACAGAUACAUUUGAGAACCAAAAUUACAUAGCAAAUUCGUCUACAUACAUCAAAACCCGGAAACCCUAAAAACACUCAUUGAUUUACAACAACAAUCAAAUAAAACAUUAUUUUUAACCUAAUUUCUAAGCUAUAGAAACCUAAGAAUAAUCAGAAGAAGGGGACGAAAGAAAAAAAUUGAACCCUUAGUUGCUGCAAUCCCAACCUCCACUAAAGCUCUUAAAAUUCUGAUACUUAGGGUUUUCACAUUGAAACCCUAAGCAUUUGAGCUAAGCCUGCAUUGGAUCUCGCAGGAAAAAGAAAAGAAAGAAGUCAUAGAAGGAGAAAGAAAUGGAUAAGCAUAGAAAGAAACGGAUAAGCAGAGAAGGAAACAAAAGAAGUUAAAUUGAAAAUUUACCUUACCAGAAAGAUCCUCGUCUCUGUAGGUUAGUGGAUGUCGACCUUUACUUUUGUUAUUGUUUCUUAUAUGUGAUUGGAAUUUAUAUUGAUGUAUGUUGUUGAUUUAUGUUGUUUUAAAUGCGGUUAAGGUUCAGUUUAUGUCUAACAAAAUUUAGGGUUUUGAGGUUUUGGGAAUUUUGGUUUGAUUUUUUUGUUUUGAUGUUUGAUUGUGGAUUGGGAGGUUACGAUCUAUGAUUUACUGUUGUUUUUAUUGUGUUUAGGCUUGAUUUGGUGAAUUUCUGAAAAAAUAGAGUUAGGGUUCAGAGGUUAGGGAUGAAGAUUCAUCAUGUUCAUGAUGAAUAUUAUGAAGAUUUGAAGGGAUAUGGGUUUGGGUUUUAAAGGCUGGAAGUUAGGGUUCUUCAGUUAGGGUUAAGGUUCUUACAGGUAUGGGUUUUGGGAUGAAUGUUAGGGUUAUGGUUAAUCUAAUUUGGGGUUAGGGUUCUUAAAUAUAGAUAGGGUUCUAAAGGGUUCUGGGUAGGUUGAUGAAGGUUUGUAGGUUUCAGUUGAAGUUCAAUCGAAAACAUAGGUUUGAGGGUGGCCAGAAGGGGGGCGGGUUAAGAACAAGGGUGGAGAAUUAGAGAGAUAGAUAUGAGAGAUGAAAUGGUUAGAGAGAGAAAACAAAAUGGAAAUGAAACCAUUUCUGAAGGGAGUUAGCGUAUAAACUCCUUUUCUUUGUUGCUUGAUGAGAGCCACGUCGGGCUCUCUGAACCUAUGAACUUGC